rnacentral:rRNA from 1 species
UACAGAGGUCUCAAGCGUUGUUCGGAUUCAUUGGGCGUAAAGGGUGCGUAGGUGGCGCGGUAAGUCGGGUGUGAAAUUUCGGAGCUUAACUCCGAAACUGCAUUCGAUACUGCCGUGCUUGAGGACUGGAGAGGAGACUGGAAUUUACGGUGUAGCAGUGAAAUGCGUAGAGAUCGUAAGGAAGACCAGUGGCGAAGGCGGUUCUCUGGGACGGUACUGACGCUGAGACGCGAAAGCGUGGGGAGCGAACAGG